UGUUGGGCAGGUGCAUGCUUUAUAUGCACAACACUAGCAAGCUUAAAACAUGCAUAUAUGGUUAUACAGCCACCACCUUUAGUGAUAAGUUGGAGAAACAUAAUGAUUAUUUUAUGGACGUGGUUAUUUAUCACCUUUCAGCAUAUGAGGAAUGGUAUUGGGGCUGGUAUAUGCUAAGACGCAGAACCUUCUCACUCCAAUAACCAUGCAUGAAUGUUAGAACUUGGGUGUUGUCCUCAAACUUAUGUUUCUUCAAGCGGUUCAUCAAAAUGGCAUCUAAGGAAAUGAAAAACAGCCUACAUUCAAAAUACAUGCAUGGCCCAUCUGAUUAGAAGUUGAGAAUAUGUCCUUCUUUCUCGGCGAAGGCAGGUACAAAGACUAAACGGUUUGAUGCGGCUCUCAAAUUUUCCUUCCUGUUUGCUCUGCCCCCACUGUUUGGUCUUUGGUUAAUUCAUAGUAUCGCUGGAAGUGUUCUUGUUGGAAUAGGUUAUGGGUUCUUCGCAGUGUGGGUUUCAACUUUUAAGGCCUUUAGACAGGUUGGGGAAUCGAAGAAGUUCUUACACUGCAUUGUGGUAAGAGUUUCAAUUAGCACUAGCUACUUUUUUUACUUCUUUCUUGUCCACUUGUAUUAUUUAGUUGUAAUCAGUUUGAUUUCUACUUGCAUGCCCUUCAUUCUUCUUCUUUUUUCUUUUUUCUUUUUUUUUUCUACCAUCUCUACGUGUGAAAAGAUACAUUUGCAAUUUUGCAUGAUGAUGUAUUAAUGUAUAAUUUAAUGCAUGGUCGGAUAGAGAGGGAACUGCUCUAUUUUUUGUUGUAUUUAUUUA